rnacentral:rRNA from 1 species
UACGUAGGGUGCAAGCGUUAAUCGGAAUUACUGGGCGUAAAGGCGUGCGCAGGCGGUUUUGUAAGUCUGUCGUGAAAGCCCCGGGCUCAACCUGGGAAUUGCGAUGGAGACUGCAAGGCUUGAAUCUGGCAGAGGGGGGUAGAAUUCCACGUGUAGCAGUGAAAUGCGUAGAGAUGUGGAGGAACACCGAUGGCGAAGGCAGCCCCCUGGGUCAAGAUUGACGCUCAUGCACGAAAGCGUGGGGAGCAAACAGG